rnacentral:rRNA from 1 species
CCUACGGGAGGCAGCAGUGAGGAAUAUUGGUCAAUGGGCUGACGCCUGAACCAGCCAAGUCGCGUGAGGGAAGACUGCCCUAUGGGUUGUAAACCUCUUUUGUCAGGGAGCAACGCCGGCUACGUGUAGCCGUACUGAGAGUACCUGAAGAAAAAGCAUCGGCUACCUCCGUGCCAGCAGCCGCGGUAAUACGGAGGAUGCGAGCGUGAUCCGGAUUUAUUGGGUUUAAAGGGUGCGUAGACGGAAUGCCAAGUCAGCGGUAAAAUCGCGGGGCUCAACCUCGCUCCGCCGUUGAAACUGGCGUUCUUGAGUGGGCGAGAAGUAUGCGGAAUGCGUGGUGUAGCGGUGAAAUGCAUAGAUAUCACGCAGAACUCCGAUUGCGAAGGCAGCAUACCGGCGCCCAACUGACGCUGAAGCACGAAAGCGUGGGUAUCGAACAGGAUUAGAUACCCGGGUAGUC